AUUGAACGCUGGCGGCAUGCCUAACACAUGCAAGUCGAGCGGAUGAAUGGAGCUUUCUCCUGUAUUCAGCUGCCGACGGGUGAGUAAUUCCUAGGUAUCUACCUUGUCUUUGGGGAUAACGUCCGUUAACGGGCCCUAAGCCCACACCGGUCAUUAUGUUGAACCGCGUGGUUCUUCGGUCCUCGCCUUUUUUGCUGUCCCUGGGUCGGAUUAGCUAGUUGGUUAGGUAAGGGCUUACCAAGGCGACGAUCCGUAACUGGUCUGAGAGGAUGAUCAGUCACACUGGAACUGAGACACGGUCCAGACUCCUACGGGAGGCAGCAGUGGGGAAUAUUGCACAAUGGGCGAAAGCCUGAUCCAGCCAUGCCGCGUGUGUGAAGAAGGUCUUCGGAUUGUAAAGCACUUUAAGUAGGGAGGAAGGGAAGUAAGAUAAUAUCUGGAUGUUUUGACGUUACCAACAGAAAAAGCACCGGCUAACUUCGUG
rnacentral:rRNA from 1 species